UACGUAGGUCCCGAGCGUUGUCCGGAUUUAUUGGGCGUAAAGAGCUCGUAGGCGGUAGUUCAAGUCAGGUGUGAAAUCCGACGGCUUAACCGGAGGACUGCACCUGAUACUGGGCUGCUAGAGGUAAGGAGAGGAAGGUGGAAUUCCCGGUGUAGCGGUGAAAUGCGUAGAUAUCGGCAGGAACACCAGCGGCGAAGGCGGUUCUCUGGUUGACUUCUGACGCUGAGGCACGAAAGCUAGGGGAGCAAACAGG
rnacentral:rRNA from 1 species